ensembl:lncRNA
GCACGAUCCUGGCGGCAUCAUUCACCAGUGUAAUGACAAGAUUCAGCAGUGUGAGAAACCUUCUACAUCAGGAAGCUUCUAAACAAAAUGCUUGGAAGCUUAUUAAGUGGUUUCAGAGGAAGAAACUUUUGAGAAGAAAAAUGAAAUGCAGUAAAUGCUAUCAUGGCAUGGAGCUGAAGAGAAGAGGAAACAGUGUGGACCAAUAUGCUUGGAUCUGUCGACGGGCUGCACAUUACAGAAAGCCCACACAAAAAUCUGUGCGGCAUAAGUCAAUGUUCAGUCAUUCAAAGGUCUCUCUGAAAAAUUGGAUGCAAUUCAUGUACAGAUUUUCACAGGGUCUUAGACUUAGACAAAUUGACAUGAUGGAAGACAGCAUUGCAGCC